UAGCUUAGAUGGUAAAGACUCUGCCUUCAAUGCAGGAGACCCAGGUUCAAUCCCUGG
rfam:Ovis aries breed Texel chromosome 2, whole genome shotgun sequence.